rnacentral:rRNA from 1 species
UGGCUCAGAACGAACGCUGGCGGCAGGCUAACACAUGCAAGUCGAGCGCACCUUCGGGUGAGCGGCGGACGGGUUAGUAACGCGUGGGAACAUACCCUUUUCUACGGAAUAGCCUCGGGAAACUGAGAGUAAUACCGUAUACGCCCUUCGGGGGAAAGAUUUAUCGGAGAAGGAUUGGCCCGCGUUAGAUUAGAUAGUUGGUGGGGUAACGGCCUACCAAGUCUACGAUCUAUAGCUGGCUUGAGAGGAUGAUCAGCAACACUGGGACUGAGACACGGCCCAGACUCCUACGGGAGGCAGCAGCGGGGAAUCUUAGACAAUGGGCGCAAGCCUGAUCUAGCCAUGCCGCGUGAGUGACGAAGGCCUUAGGGUCGUAAAGCUCUUUCGCCAGGGAUGAUAAUGACAGUACCUGGUAAAGAAACCCCGGCUAACUCCGUGCCAGCAGCCGCGGUAAUACGGAGGGGGUUAGCGUUGUUCGGAAUUACUGGGCGUAAAGCGCGCGUAGGCGGAUUGGAAAGUAUGGGGUGAAAUCCCGGGGCUCAACCCCGGAACUGCCUUGUAAACUAUCAAUCUAGAGUUCGAGAGAGGUGAGUGGAAUUCCAAGUGUAGAGGUGAAAUUCGUAGAUAUUUGGAGGAACACCAGUGGCGAAGGCGGCUCACUGGCUCGAUACUGACGCUGAGGUGCGAAAGUGUGGGGAGCAAACAGGAUUAGAUACCCUGGUAGUCCACACCGUAAACGAUGAAUGCCAGACGUCGGGGGGCUUGCCCUUCGGUGUCACACCUAACGGAUUAAGCAUUCCGCCUGGGGAGUACGGUCGCAAGAUUAAAACUCAAA